GCUGCGUCGGGGGACGGGGCUACAAGCCGUCGCUGGGGGCGGGGCUUGCGGCCCACCUGUAGGUCCCGGUGCCACCUCGUCAGUGUCCCGAGAGAUCCCCAGAAGAACGAGAGGGCUGAACAGGGGACCCCACUGACGUCCGGUCUCUAUGAAGUCAGAGCUAUUACUAUCAGCAUUUUACCCAUGAAGAAACCGAGGUUUAGAGAGAUUCUUUUCCAGGAACUGGAUAGCCAGCAAGAUGUGAAGCAGGAUGAAGAAACUAAGACUCAGAGAAGACAAAUGACAUGCCCAAAGACACAUUGAUAAGAACGCAUCUGGUAGUGGUGUUCGAGUCCAGCGUUGCAGCAGAGAGAUGGGUAACUGUAUGGCCGAACAGCUGUCUUCUCGUGGAAGAAGGAGGCCAAUGUCCAGGAGUGGCAGGCAUACUGGAACUUGGACUUCUGUAGGCCAACCUGGGUUCCACUUGGUAGAUGGGGGUCUUGCUGUGUUGCCCAGGCUGGUCUCAAACUCCUGGCCUGAAGCAGUCCUCCUCCCUUAGCCUCCAGAGUAGCUGGGACUACAGGUACACACCACUGCAACCCCUCAGUGGUUGUUAUUUAACUGAAGGGGGUUUUAGCUUUCAUGUAUCAGCUCACUCUGGAGCCAGACAGCCUGGCCUUCAUGGCAGCUCUGCCCCUUACUACCUGUGUGACAUCGGGCAACGUUACUGAGUGUCAGAUUUCUUAUUUGUAAAACAGGGAUAAAAAUGACAUUGCUGUGCAAAUUAAAAGAAAGAAUCCAUGUGAGAUAUUUAGCACACUGGCAUACAAUGAGAGCUUAAUAAACAUUGUUAGUUUUGUAAACUGAGGGAAAAAAAUAGCCACAGGCCUGGGAACAUAAAUGCUUGGUAAGCUUCUCAGUUCCCUGGAAGUCUGACACGCAAUGUGUAUGUAUGAACAAGGCAGGAGGAAGCAUGACACCAAGCCUUCCUUUUAACAAACACUGUUUAAAUCAGAGGUCGGAAGUCAUGGACUGGAGAUUCAUUCUCUCCCCACUCAUUUCUGCCCAGAGACACCUGGUGAUCUGGCAUACACAGUGCUAUGAACCUCAGAAUUAUUUGCUAGCAUUUACAAAUUGUGAGUACUCCCACAUACAAACUGUGGUAGAUGGAAUAAUGCCUCCCCACAAAAAUGUCCACAGCCUAAUCCCUGGAACCUGGGAAUAUGUUACUUUACACAGCAAAGGAAUGUUGCAGCUGUGAUUGGAGAUUGAGAUAGGGAGAGUGUAUUAGUCUGUUGUCAUGCGGCUAUGAAGAAAUACCUGAGACUGGGUAAUUUACAAAGAAAAGAGGUUUAAUUCACUUACAGCUCAGCACGGCUGGUUGGGGGGGCGCCCUCAGGAAAUUUACAAUCAUGGUAGGAGGCACCUCUUCACAGGGUGGCAGGAGAGAAAAUAAGAGCAGAGCGAAGGGGGAACCCCUUAUAAAACUGUCAGAUCUCAUGAGAACUCACUGUCAUGAGAACAGCAUGGGGGAAACCGCCCCCAUGAUCCAUCACCUCCACCUGGUCCCCCCCUUGUUACAAUUCAAGGGGAUUGUAACAAUUCAAGGUGAGAUCUGGGUGGGGACACAGAGCCAAACCAUAUCAGAGAGUCUUCCUGCAGUGUCCGGGUGGGUGCGGCAUGUUCAUAGGGUCUUAGAAGAGGGAAGCAAGAGGUGA
rnacentral:lncRNA from 1 species